GUACGCUAUUCAGAGUUUGAUCCUGGCUCAGGAUGAACGCUGGCGGCGCGCCUAACACAUGCAAGUCGAACGGUGAAGUCCCUUCGGGGACGGAUCAGUGGCGGACGGGUGAGUAACGCGUGAGUAACCUGCCCUUAUGAGUGGAAUAACGUCUGGAAACGGACGCUAAUACCGCAUAAUGCAUCGGGAAGACAUCUUCCUAAUGCCAAAGAUUUAUCGCAUAAGGAUGGACUCGCGUCUGAUUAGAUAGUUGGUGGGGUAACGGCCUACCAAGUCGACGAUCAGUAGCCGGACUGAGAGGUUGAACGGCCACAUUGGAACUGAGAAACGGUCCAG
rnacentral:rRNA from 1 species